CCUACGGGAGGCUGCAGUGGGGAAUAUUGCACAAUGGGGGAAACCCUGAUGCAGCGACGCCGCGUGAGUGAAGAAGUAUCUCGGUACGUAAAGCUCUAUCAGCAGGGAAGAAAAUGACGGUACCUGACUAAGAAGCCACGGCUAACUACGUGACAGCAGCCGCGGUAAUACGUAGGGGGCAAGCGUUAUCCGGAUUUACUGGGUGUAAGGGGAGCGUAGACGGCAGCACAAGUCUGGAGUGAAAUCCCGGGGCUUAACCCCGGAACUGCUUUGGAAACUGGGCGGCUGGAGUGCAGGAGGGGUAAGCGGAAGUCCUGGUGUAGCGGUGAAAUGCGUAGAUAUGAGGAGGAACACCGGUGGCGAAGGCGGCUUACUGGACUGUAACUGACGUUGAGGCUCGAAAGCGUGGGGAGCAAACAGGAUUAGAUACCCUGGUAGUC
rnacentral:rRNA from 1 species